rnacentral:rRNA from 1 species
AUUGAACGCUGGCGGCAUGCCUUACACAUGCAAGUCGAACGGUAACAGGUCUUCGGAUGCUGACGAGUGGCGAACGGGUGAGUAAUACAUCGGAACGUGCCUAGUAGUGGGGGAUAACUACUCGAAAGAGUGGCUAAUACCGCGUGAGAUCUACGGAUGAAAGCAGGGGAUCGCAAGGCCUUGUGCUACUAGAGCGGCCGAUGGCAGAUUAGGUAGUUGGUGGGAUAAAAGCUUACCAAGCCGACGAUCUGUAGCUGGUCUGAGAGGACGAUCAGCCACACUGGGACUGAGACACGGCCCAGACUCCUACGGGAGGCAGCAGUGGGGGAUUUUGGACAAUGGGCGCAAGCCUGAUCCAGCAAUGCCGCGUGCAGGAUGAAGGCCUUCGGGUUGUAAACUGCUUUUGUACGGAACGAGAAGCCCUGGGUUAAUACCCUGGGGUCAUGACGGUACCGUAAGAAUAAGCACCGGCUAACUACGUGCCAGCCGCCGCCGUAACAC